AGAUCAAAUUGUUGGUCGUGCCUCGGUACGUACUGGCAUUAUUGAUUUCUCCCUUCUGAAGAACCUUGAUGUCAUUAAUUUGGUGUCUUGGGGAAUCAGGACCGUUACUUUGAAAAAAUUAGAGUGUUUAAAGCAGGCAUUUUGCUUGAAUACAUUAGCAUGGAAUAAUAAAAUAGGACGGCAUGAUUCUAUUUUGUUGGUUUCUAGGAUCACCGUAAU
rnacentral:rRNA from 1 species